CUGCUCCACUUCCUCUGUUCUUCUCGCUUCCGCGCCUUAAAGACUAAGGAAGAAUACAAAGGAAUUAUAAUGGUUCCUCCUCCAUUGAGAGAAUUCGUCGAGGGUUUUAGCUGAAGGACUGAAGAAGAAAUACACCAUUUUUGGCAGAUUGUAAUUAGCAAAGGCGUGGGUCUCAAUUUUUUCUACCUGUUNACCUGUUAACGGUUUCAGAUAAUGGCAUCCAGUCAUGCGAUAGCGCGUGAUCAAUUAAUGGCUAAGAUAUAAAAAGGUGUUAUUGAAUGCAAGUAUUAGGG
rnacentral:misc_RNA from 1 species